rnacentral:misc_RNA from 1 species
GUCGAUACCAGCUUUCCCGGCUUUGCCGAGCAGCUCGCGCGGCUGCGGGAGAAGGCAUGAUCGAAGGUGC